rnacentral:lncRNA from 1 species
AGAGCGAGUGCGUCCCCACCAGCCUGGCCGCCGCGGGAACUCGGGGACCGGGAGGGCGGGGGUUAGCGGGAGGAAAGGGGCACCAAGAGGCACCCUGAGAACUCAGAGGACCCAGAGGCUCCCCUCAAGCAAAUUCCCUGCUGACCCUGGACACCCCUUGAAGGAGGGGGCAAGAGGCUGCCACAAGGCUCAUCUUAUAACUCCCAGCAAGGACUCCCAGCAAACAAGUUCAGCUUGGGAUCUGCCCACCACCAAGCCUGGCUGGGAGGUGGGGGGGAGCGAGGGGCGGUGGAGAGGCAGAGUCCCUGAACAGGGAAAAGACAAUCAGUUGUUCCCCUUUCUGGUGUCAGAGGCAAAGAAGCCUGAAGGGCUGGUGGUGGUGCUGGCUCUGGGUUUAUUGACUCUGUGAUCCUGUCCAGCUGUCCUACAGGGAGUUCCAGAGCUCUCCCAAAGUGCAUGAGGAACUGCACAAGUAGGACUGGGGCACAAUACCAGAAGCUAUUUGUCUCCUAGAACCUGGCACCCCCUCCACUUACCUUACAGGAGACCCACAUCACUCAGUUCCCAGGACACCUGGUGGGAGAGUCUGGUGAGAUUUGGAGGCAGACUUCCUCUACUCACAACUUGUUUGAAAAUGGACAUAAAGAGAAGAACAGACACUCCAUCGCCCCUUCAGGGCCUCCUUUGUGUCACAAAACCUAUCCCCUCCUAGGGCACCCUUGACAUUCCCCUAGGUGGGCCUACACAUUGUUCAGAACCUGUCCCCUGUACCAAAAUAAAUAUAAAUGAGUUUGUUUCUUUAAAAGAAAUAUUACAGCUUUAAACUUUUCCCAGCCGGAAUCCACCUAAUUUCAUCAAGGUCUCUCGCUAGCAGCCAUAACCCAGGCCAAAAGGGCUUGUCCCUAGGGAGGCACCAAAGGGAGAAUACCCCAGGCCCAUUUCAUUCCACUGAGGUUUUUGAACCCCUAGGUGUCUAAGGUAAUACCACCACCAUCCCCACCUGUUUUCAGUUCUUUCUUUGUGGCUUAAGAUUGCAUUUUUGGAGGGUUUAUGUAAUGUUGUUCACGUCAGCAAGUCUCCCUGCCCCACCCUCACCCCACUGUCCUAUAUGGAAUUAUAGUUGGAAACCACACACACAUAGAAAAUCUUUGAAGAUUUUUUUCUGCUAUUCUUCCUGACUAGAAGAGUUGACAAGACAUAGACACAUUCAGUUGCAUAAAAUACAGUAGCGUGAUCAGCCUAAAUGCAUCUCAUUUGCACUGUUUGUAACCAGGGGUGGGGGCUUGUGUCACUCAUUGCCUCCCCCUCCUCUGCCCAAACCAGACCCGCCAGCUGGAAUUUCAGAGCAGGCCCCAAGGCAGCAGCCAUUUGGGAAGUGGAAGCCCUAGCCCACCCCAGUCCAGCAGGGGUGCGGGGUGGAUAGAGAAGGUGUCUGGAGGUCUGGCCUGAGGGCUUGGACCAACUUUGGCAGACCUGGGCUCUGGGAGGCUUGGCCGGUGGGUGACCACAGCUGGAAGUUGGAGGUCUGCAGCGAUGCUUCUGAGCUUCUCCUGAGUUGAGUUCAAGAAAGGGGACACCAAGAAGUAGGGGAACAGUCACUGACUAUAUUUUACAUCCACGCCUACCCCUUUCCCAGAGUUGUGUUCUCACCACCCACUUUGUCGGCGGAGGAGAAACACUGCUGCCUGAUGCUUGCACUGCUGCACUGUUCUUGCACCUGCUCCUAGCCCUGAACUCGGGCCCUGAGCUCCUCACUGCCGCCCGCUCUGCGCUGAGCCCCACUCCUGAGACCGCGAGGUGCCAGAGCAGCGCCUCUCCCACCAACUCCUAGACGCCUGUAGGAGCUGCGCCGGAGCCUUCAGAACCCCAUGGGGGUGUGGGGGUGAAGUUGGAGGUCAUCCGGCUCCCGGCUUCUCGAACGCUCUUCUGAUCGCCCAGCGGGGAGACUUCAGGGCCUGCCUCGUCAGGCCAGAUUGCAGCCCGCGACCUUCCCGGAUUAACCAAGGGCGGGGCCUGUUGCCCAGCAAGGCUGCUGCCUAACUGAGCCUCCCGGGGAACAGCCAUGACCAAAGCCCCGCGGGCCCAGGCGCGGGCACCUACCCCUACCCGCUCAGGCCUGUGGGAGCGCAGGGGCAGAGGCCGAGACGCUGGACUUCCAGCCCCACACCUCUGACAACCCGGGCACGUCUGCGGAGCCCGGGGGAACAGUCAGCGGGCUCUGCGUCCCGGGAGCUGGGGACACGCCUGCAAGGUGUGUGAUCCUUUAAAGAUCCUUAGUACUAGUUUUGUAGGGAGCCUUUGUUAUAGCUUUGUCAGCCUGCGCGCCUUCAGCAGCUCCCCCUCCCGGGCCCCUCGGUUCCCUCCGGGCUCGCCCCCAGCGGAGAGGGCCCGGCGCAGGGGAUCUGCCCAGGAUCAACUGCCCUCUUCCAGAUCCCCUUCUGCGAGAUUCUUUUCCUUUGGUUACAAUCUCCCCUCCGUGCCUGGGGCAGAUAAACACGGUUCGCCCCGCCUGCAGUAUUGGGGCGAUGCUGUCCUGGAAGAACGGGCUUUCUGAAUGUGACCUCGGGAUGCUGCAGCGGCGCAAUGCUGCUACUGCUGAAUGAGUAGCUCUCCUGCCACCGCAGGGCGACUGCGGUGGGCACAGCAGGGCGCACAGAGGAGGGGGUAAUCUGCCCACCCAGGCUAAGGAUUUGAGGGUUCUGACAAAAAAGAGCUGGUUGAGGAUGACACAGUUGUGAACUAACCUGGCUCCUACUACCCCACAGGGCAGCCAGGUCCCAGUAGUCUUGGGUACCACUGCCCCCACCAUACCACCAUUGUAAAGUAUGGACUCCUGCUUAGCCAACGUGCAGCUCUAGGCAGGAUCUCUGAAGGAUGCUCUGGCACACAGAUGGUGCAGGUAUGACUUUACCUGCACACAAGCUUACAUGUGCCCUGUCAUAUAUGGCUACACGUUUCCCCAUUUCCCCACAGUCUUCCUAUUUAACUGGUCUUCAAUCCUCCUUUCUAGGGCUUUCCGCCUGCACACAGUCAUUUGGAGAAAAUCAAGUGAGUGCACUUCUCCCCACAGAGGAUUCUGUAUGUUAUGUAACACACUCACACUGGGAUUCCUCAAGUUACCAUUUUGCCCCAACUCAGCCAGCACUUGGUUUUCUGGCGGGGGUGUCAGGAUGAUGCAAAUGGAGGUGGAAGCUUCAUUCCCUGGGGGCUUUUAUUCCCCUCCUUGAAGCCCCAGUUCAAGGCCCAGGAACAAAGGGGAAAGGUAACUGAUCUCUCUUUUGGUCUUUCUCUCCCCUCACUUCCACCCCUUCACCUGCAGGCCCUCCUCUUUGAUAAAUAGAGGAAAGCCCGUGGGAUCAGGUACAUAUGUAAAUACUGCUGACCUCGGCCGCCCCUCCUCACCGAAAAGCAGAAAGCCCGUUUCAGGUGCAGGCUGCUCCGUGCCUUUGAGUGUCCACCACUUCUAUUCCCCCAGACUGCUUGGGACUCAAGGCCACUCACUUAAUACCCGUCUCUUGUUAAAAACAUUCAGGACAACUAUUAAAUAGUUAUUGGAAGAGUUAAAGACCUUCUUUCAGGAGUGAAACGUUUUUAAAGCUGUGCUUGGCAUAAGUCUUUAAGGCGUACAAAGUAGAAUCAGUAGACUUGCCUGAGCGAUUUUGAAAUUUGAAAGAUUUCUCCCCAUGAAAUGGUAAUUUAAAAUAGUUUGUAGAUGUUGUUUUGUUCUGUGAUGGCUUUUUCACCAUUGUCACCUAAAGAUUCUCAAGACCAAGCUACUAAGACAUUUCAUUUGGUUAGUUUCUGGGUGAUACUGUGCUUUCUGAUUAGACCUAUUUAAUUUAUUUUUAACUCUGCAGGAGAGUUUUCAACCUUGGAAAUGUAAGUGAAACACAGACUCACCCUCCUUCUGAGACCUUGAUAGGGGCAGAAAGGAACAAAUCUGGCUAGCCCCCCUCACACCUGGAAGUUUCCCUGUCUAAACCUGGGUACAAUGAGCGUGGUGGGUUUUGUCACCUUUUAUUUUAUUGCUGGCUCAAGGAAAAUUCUUUGAAAUGAACAUCUAUUCUAUUUCAGUGUGCAAUGUUCCAGCCGACUUAAUGGGCUUGCCUUAUGCGGAGAGGCAGUCCUGCAGGACAGAGCUAAUGUGUGGUCUCCCAGGAAGCUCAUCAGAACACCUCUUGUCCCUUUUCUUUAAAAGAAAAAAAAUUUAAAAAGUUUUUGCUUCCAUCUCAAUGUCCAUUCCAUUAUUUUGUAGCUACAAUAAAGAAACAUGGGCAGCAGUGAUCAUUCUUUUUGUCCUAUGUAAUCAUGUCUAGUGUUAGGACCUUACAAAGCUCCAGACAUACCUCAGGUGUAUUCUGCACUUUUCAUAUUUAUUCACUGCUCACUGGGUCACACAGAUGAUUCACACUUGAUUCCACCUUCCUCUGGACAACUCUCCCUCAAACAACACCCCUCUAUCAACUUAUAGGGAAAGGAGAUUCACUUAGAGAAAACUUCUUGAAUUAAAGACCAGACUCAGUUUCGCCAGGUAACUAAUCCUGGCAUACCGGUGACUAGGAAGUCAUCACCUAACACUCUACCUAGAUAUAAACUCUCAGGAAGGAGGCAGGCCGGUGGGGACAUUUCCACAGACAUUUCUAAAACUGUGGCAAUUGAGUAUAUUUUACAGAUACAAUUUUGGUAGAUUCCCAUCCAGCUUAAGACAUUUAAAAUGCAAUUUUGUUCACACGCAUGUGCGCGCACACAGACACACACGCACGUGUCAACUAGGGUGAUAUUAACAGUCCAUUUCCACUGGGCAAUUCUGUGACAGCAACUACAACUAACAAACUUCUUUUCUGAAGAGUAAAAAAGAAAACAAAAGCCUCUCCAUCUAUUUUAAAAGGUUAUUUUAUAUUGUUUAGCAUUCUUUCGAAACAGGAAUUGGCUGGACACUUCUCCCUUUUCAAAGAUCAGGUAAACUACUCUCCCACCCACCUCCUCCCCAAGACCAAGCCAUUUUUUAAAGCAAAAAUUCUGUUUCCAAAGGAAGAAAAAUGAACAAAUUCCAUUAAUGAAUUACAUACAUGGAAUGUGGCUUGUCUAGGACAUUUGUAUUUGUAAAUAAAUGGCUCCCUGUUUAUUAUGUAUGUUUUACUGGAAAAAAAACCAACUCUAAUGCCUCUGAGCAUGUUAUAAUACAGCAAAUAUUUCCACUUAUGGUUUCAGUUCCACUGUUUCUUGGUACUCACUAGAAAGAAAUCGGGUUACAUGGAGUCAGUUGUGGGGUUUAAGCGUCCAGGCUGACUUGGGGACGCGGCACCUCUAAAGUUCUCAUGUUUGCCAAAGUGCGGGGGGAAGGGGGAAUGGCUCCUAGGAAUCUUAUGGGGAUUAAUCUGGGGUUUCGCCUUUGUCCCGGGAUCUUUCUAAGGCUCACCACGGCCUCCGUCUGCAGCUUCAGAAGCGAAGCCGGCGUGCGAUCUCCUUGGCGGGCGGACUGGGCACAGUCCCUGCCUUGCCCUGCUGCCGGCGCCCGCACACCGCGGUCUCAGGAUCUCCCCGCAGGCCUAGGCCUGCAGUCCUCGGGCGGAGACGGGGCCUGGGGGAGCGACCCUCACCGGGCCAGGCACAGGCAGUUUACCCUGGUGCCUGUAGGGUGCUCGAGUUUCCCACACGCGGGAAGCGGAGGCGUGGGCCAAGCGCCGGGGGCUGCCCAAGAACUCCACCGCCCCGUGCGGCGCGCAGGGCCUGGCGGCGCGAAACUUCCACAAAGCCGCCGGCCGCCUCCGGCCUUGCCUCCACUCCGCAGUCCCAGCUGCCUAGACCUCGGUGUCUUCCCAGACAAUGAGCCCUGCCAGUGCACUAGGCUGUUCCGCUCUGACUUCUUCUGCCCGCACAUGGGGACCCGAGCGAAAGGUUAUGGGUUGGAACAAGUCAGCGCAUCUCCUUCCACGCGCCGCAUCCUUCGGGAAGACAAACAGAGUACGCCCCCCACCUCAAUUUCGGGCCCUGGUCUGUGGGCUGGGCCACAGUCCGGGAAGACCCAAGGGGUCACGGGUCCAGAUCCGUCUUUACUUUGUCCUCCGCUCCAGGGCUCCAGGGCCCUGGGCAGCAGAGAGGUGGAUUUCAGAGAAAGCCCGGGUCAGCCAGGCCUUGAACUCAGCCCCUCUGAACUCCACCGUCAGCAGCGUGGGCGGCAACUCAAUUCUCCUGGGAGGAGGCUGCACCCCCAGAACGGAAAAUCCGCAAACGUCGCGCAGAGACCCACAGGCAUUUCUACCUUUCCUUCCACAAGCCCUGCAGAAAGUUAUCGCCAGAACCUCUGGAACCUGAGCCGACUCCAGCCUCCAGCAACUCCCUCAACCUUCCAGGGAAACUUUCAGAAGUUUCCCUUUCCUUCGCUCCUCAAUUCCUUGGACUUUCUCCAGCCCCCAGGUUUGCUCAUUACUCUGCUGACUGCCCUUUAGUCUCUAGGGCUCCACAGGCCUGAGCGUUUCCAGAAUAAUAAUAAUAAUAAUAAUAAUAAUAAUAAUAAUAAUAAUAAUAAUUGUUAUUAUGAGGCUGGGGAAGAACAGGAUCAGAGGGUAGGAGGGACUGAGGGAGAGAGUGGACAUGUUUAUGAAAAGGUUUAUUUAAACCUGUGUUUCAAAAGGGUUCAGUUGACAAUUAUCAGUAACCCCGAUAGACAACUCCAUUAAAAAAAAAAAGAAUUUACUAUUGCUCUUGAAAGCCGUUAUUUUUUCCAUCGCUUUUUAGGAAGAUAGAUGAACAAAACAUCGCGUUUCAAGCCAUUUUGAUCUGUAAUUGAAAGGCAGGAUCGGUUUGUAUUCUCCUACGGCUUUUACAGAAGUUGCAGUGAUCCAAAGUCGGGUUGCUGUGUCAGAGUGGCAUUUUUAUUAAUGAGAAUACAAAAAGCUUGCAUAUUCUUAGCCCUGCUUGAAUUUAGUUGCUAAGCAACGGGUGUAUGGUAAUUCAUCCGCGAAAUUUAAAUCUUUGAGAAAGGUUCGUGCGUUUUGCUGAAUGGUCGCCACGAGGAAAACAACUUGUGGGACCCACAGCAGCUGCCACAGUCUGGCCGCCCGGCCGUGCCGGGCCGAGCAGGGACCCGGCCGCCCCACCGCGACCGCCACCGCC